rnacentral:rRNA from 1 species
AGUGAACGCUGGCGGUAGGCCUAACACAUGCAAGUCGAACGGCAGCACAGGAGAGCUUGCUCUCUGGGUGGCGAGUGGCGGACGGGUGAGGAAUACAUCGGAAUCUACCUUUUCGUGGGGGAUAACGUAGGGAAACUUACGCUAAUACCGCAUACGACCUUCGGGUGAAAGCAGGGGACCUUCGGGCCUUGCGCGGAUAGAUGAGCCGAUGUCGGAUUAGCUAGUUGGCGGGGUAAAGGCCCACCAAGGCGACGAUCCGUAGCUGGUCUGAGAGGAUGAGCAGCCACACUGGAACGUAGACACGGUCCAGACUCCUACGGGAGACAGCAGUGGGGAAUAUGGGACAAUGGGCGCAAGCCUGAUCCAGCCAUACCGCGUGGGUGAAGAAGGCAUUCGGGUUGUAAAGCCCUUUUGUUGGGAAAGAAAAGCAGCCAGUUAAUACCUGGUUGUUCUGGCGGUACCCAAAGAAUAAGCACCGGCUAACUUCGUGCCAGCAGCCGCCGUAA